rnacentral:rRNA from 1 species
UACGAGGGUGGCAAGUGUUGUUCGGAAUCACUGGGCGUAAAGGGCGCGUAGGCGGGCUAUCAAGUCCGGGGUGAAAUCCUCCCGCUCAACGGGAGAACGGCCUCGGAUACUGAUGGUCUCGAGGGGGAUAGGGGCACACGGAACUGUGGGUGGAGCGGUGAAAUGCGUUGAUAUCCAUAGGAACUCCGGUGGCGAAAGCGGUGUGCUGGAUCCCUUCUGACGCUGAGGCGCGAAAGCCAGGGGAGCGAACGGG